GCAGUCGAGCGGUAGAGAGAAGCUUGCUUCUCUUGAGAGCGGCGGACGGGUGAGUAAUGCCUAGGAAUCUGCCUGGUAGUGGGGGAUAACGUUCGGAAACGGACGCUAAUACCGCAUACGUCCUACGGGAGAAAGCAGGGGACCUUCGGGCCUUGCGCUAUCAGAUGAGCCUAGGUCGGAUUAGCUAGUUGGUGGGGUAAUGGCUCACCAAGGCGACGAUCCGUAACUGGUCUGAGAGGAUGAUCAGUCACACUGGAACUGAGACACGGUCCAGACUCCUACGGGAGGCAGCAGUGGGGAAUAUUGGACAAUGGGCGAAAGCCUGAUCCAGCCAUGCCGCGUGUGUGAAGAAGGUCUUCGGAUUGUAAAGCACUUUAAGUUGGGAGGAAGGGCAGUAAAUUAAUACUUUGCUGUUUUGACGUUACCGACAGAAUAAGCACCGGCUAACUCUGUGCCAGCAGCCGCGGUAAUACAGAGGGUGCAAGCGUUAAUCGGAAUUACUGGGCGUAAAGCGCGCGUAGGUGGUUAGUUAAGUUGGAUGUGAAAUCCCCGGGCUCAACCUGGGAACUGCAUUCAAAACUGACUGACUAGAGUAUGGUAGAGGGUGGUGGAAUUUCCUGUGUAGCGGUGAAAUGCGUAGAUAUAGGAAGGACACCAGUGGCGAAGGCGACCACCUGGACUGAUACUGACACUGAGGUGCGAAAGCGUGGGGAGCAAACAGGAUUAGAUA
rnacentral:rRNA from 1 species